CCUACGGGUGGCAGCAGUGAGGAAUAUUGGUCAAUGGACGGAAGUCUGAACCAGCCAUGCCGCGUGAAGGAUGAAGGCGUUCUGCGUUGUAAACUUCUUUUAUUAGAGAAGAAACCACUUUUAUCUAAGAGUGUUGACGGUAUCUGAUGAAUAAGCACCGGCUAACUCCGUGCCAGCAGCCGCGGUAAUACGGAGGGUGCGAGCGUUAUCCGGAUUUACUGGGUUUAAAGGGUGUGUAGGCGGCUUAUUAAGUCAGGGGUGAAAUCUCCGAGCUC
rnacentral:rRNA from 1 species